rnacentral:rRNA from 1 species
CCCCCUCGGGUUACCGAAUUCAGACAAACUCCGAAUGCCAGAUAAUCUAAUGCGGGAGUCAGACUGCGGGUGAUAAGGUCCGUAGUCGAGAGGGAAACAGCCCAGACCACCAGCUAAGGUCCCAAAAUAUAUGUUAAGUGGAAAAGGAUGUGGCGUUGCCCAGACAACUAGGAUGUUGGCUUAGAAGCAGCCAUCAUUUAAAGAGUGCGUAAUAGCUCACUAGUCGAGUGACGCUGCGCCGAAAAUGUACCGGGGCUAAACAUAUUACCGAAGCUGUGGAUUGUCCGUAGGACAAUGGUAGGAGAGCGUUCUAAGGGCGUCGAAGCAUGACCGUAAGGACAUGUGGAGCGCUUAGAAGUGAGAAUGCCGGUGUGAGUAGCGAAAGACGGGUGAGAAUCCCGUCCACCGAUUGACUAAGGUUUCCAGAGGAAGGCUCGUCCGCUCUGGGUUAGUCGGGACCUAAGCCGAGGCCGAAUGGCGUAGGCGAUGGACAACAGGUAGAUAUUCCUGUACCACCUAAGAUCGUUUGAACGAUGGGGGGACGCAGUAGGAUAGGCGAAGCGUACUGUUGGUUAUGUACGUCCAAGCACUGAGAUUGAGUAUCAGGCAAAUCCGGUACUCAUCAAGAUCAAGGUGUGAUGGGGAGCGAAAUUAUAGUAGCGAAGUCGUUGAUUUCACACUGCCAAGAAAAGCCUCUAGUUAGAAAUUAGGUGCCCGUACCGCAAACCGACACAGGUAGUCAAGAUGAGAAUUCUAAGGUGAGCGAGCGAACUCUCGUUAAGGAACUCGGCAAAAUGACCCCGUAACUUCGGGAGAAGGGGUGCUUUUUAGGGUGCAAGCCCUGAAGAGCCGCAGUGAAUAGGCCCAAGCGACUGUUUAUCAAAAACACAGGUCUCUGCAAAACCGUAAGGUGAAGUAUAGGGGCUGACGCCUGCCCGGUGCUGGAAGGUUAAAAGGAGUGGUUAGCGUAUGCGAAGCUACGAAUUGAAGCCCCAGUAAACGGCGGCCGUAACAAUAACGGUCCUAAGGUAGCGAAAUUCCUUGUCGGGUAAGUUCCGACCUGCACGAAUGGCAUAAUGAUGGGGGCGCUGUCUCCAGCAGAGACUCAGUGAAAUCGAAUUCGCCGUGAAGAUGCGGUGUACCCGCGGCUAGACGGAAAGACCCCGUGAACCUUUACUGCAGCUUGACAUUGAACUUUGAUCUUACUUGUGUAGGAUAGGUGGGAGGCUUUGAAGUCGCGACGCUAGUUGCGAUGGAGCCGUCCUUGAAAUACCACCCUGGUAAUAUUGAGGUUCUAACUCUGUCCCGUUAUCCGGGACGAGGACCAUGUCUGGUGGGUAGUUUGACUGGGGCGGUCUCCUCCUAAAGAGUAACGGAGGAGUACGAA